CUUUCUUCUUCUUUUGGCUGCCAAGAGGUUGCUUAGGAUGUGGGGACAAGUUUUAGUGAAGAUAACUUAGGGUUUUGAGGUGAGAAAGGGUGUGGAUUCAAGCUUUGUAAGCAUGAAAAUGGAGAAGGGAAAAGAGAAGCAUGAAACGUUUUGUUGGGGAAGAAGAGUAGCUGCAGAAAAUUCUCUAAAAUGGUCUUCUUUUUCUGUCCAUUUAUGUAUUAUAAAUGUCUUCCUUU
rnacentral:misc_RNA from 1 species